CCUUCGAUAGCUCAGUUGGUAGAGCGGUGGACUGUAGAGUGCGAAACAAAACAUAGAUAUCCAUAGGUCGCUGGUUCAAAUCCGGCUCGAAGGA
rnacentral:ncRNA from 12 species